rnacentral:rRNA from 1 species
AGAGAGAGACAUGCGCGCAUAUCAAUAAGCGGAGGAAAAGAAACUAACAAGGAUUCCCCUAGUAACGGCGAGUGAAGCGGGAAGAGCUCAAAUUUGAAAUCUUAAAGGGUUUCCCUUUACGAAUUGUAGUUUAAAGAAGUGUUUCUGUUGAGGUUUUGGUAAAAGUUCUUUGGAAUAGGACAUCAUAGAGGGUGAGAAUCCCGUAUUUGACCUUUACUUUCAACUUUGUGAUACACUUUCAAAGAGUCGGAUUGUUUGGGAAUGCAGUCCAAAAUGGGUGGUAAAUUUCAUCUAAAGCUAAAUAUUGGCGAGAGACCGAUAGCGAACAAGUACCGUGAGGGAAAGAUGAAAAGAACUUUGAAAAGAGAGUUAAACAGUACGUGAAAUUGUCAAAAGGGAAGCGUUUGACACCAGUGUUGUUUUUCUGAAAAUCAAUUAAAGAACUGUUUAUGCUAAGUUGUUUAGACUUUAUCAGCUAACUGUUUAGUUUUGAGCUUUUCUUUAAUGCACUUUUCAGUUAACAAGUCAACAUCAAUUUCUUUUGCUGUAAAAAAGCUUGAGGAAGGUGGCUUGAGAUUCGUCUUAAGUGUUUAUAGCCUCUUGCCUAUGCAGUCGGAGAGAUUGAGGUCUGCAGCGUAGAUCCUUCGGGGCUAAAUGCAUUUGUGCUAAGUUAUAGCAUUUAUAGACAACUUGUUGACUAUGAUUCAGUCAUGUAGCUUACUCGCUUAUGUUAUUUUACCUACGCUUAGGAUGUUGAGCGCAUGUCUCUCUCU